CAGCGGGUGAGAGCCCCGCCCGGCGAUUGCUCCAGCCGGAAGCAACCUAUAAGGAGCAGCUAUGGAGGUAAGGAAGUGGCUGAAGCCUCUGGUGAAGCGUCUCACGAAUUGGUGACAGCGCGAGUGUGCAGGCCGUAACGCGA
rnacentral:ncRNA from 1 species